GGUGGCUCAGUGGUAGAGUGCUUGCCUUGCAUGCAAGAAGCCCUGGAUUCGUUCCAGCACCA
rnacentral:tRNA from 1 species